rnacentral:rRNA from 1 species
AUUCCAGCUCCAAUAGCGUAUAUUAAAGUUGUUGCAGUUAAAACGCUCGUAGUCGGAUUUCGGGGCGGGCCGACCGGUCUGCCGAUGGGUAUGCACUGGCCGGCGCGUCCUUCCACCCGGAGACCGCGCCUACUCUUAACUGAGCGGGCGCGGGAGACGGGUCUUUUACUUUGAAAAAAUCAGAGUGUUUCAAGCAGGCAGUCGCUCUUGCAUGGAUUAGCAUGGGAUAAUGAAAUAGGACUCUGGUGCUAUUUUGUUGGUUGUGUACUGAGGUAAUGAUUAAUAGGGAUAGUUGGGGGUAUUCAUAUUUGAUUGUCAGAGGUGAAAUUCUUGGAUUUUUCAAAGAUGAACAAGUGCGAAAGCAUUUACCAAGGAUGUUUUCAUUG